ACGAACGCUGGCGGCGUGCUUAACACAUGCAAGUCGAACGGAAAGGCCCUGCUUUUGUGGGGUGCUCGAGUGGCGAACGGGUGAGUAACACGUGAGUAACCUGCCCUUGACUUUGGGAUAACUUCAGGAAACUGGGGCUAAUACCGGAUAGGAGCUCCUGCUGCAUGGUGGGGGUUGGAAAGUUUCGGCGGUUGGGGAUGGACUCGCGGCUUAUCAGCUUGUUGGUGGGGUAGUGGCUUACCAAGGCUUUGACGGGUAGCCGGCCUGAGAGGGUGACCGGCCACAUUGGGACUGAGAUACGGCCCAGACUCCUACGGGAGGCAGCAGUGGGGAAUAUUGCACAAUGGGCGGAAGCUUGAUGCAGCAACGCCGCGUGCGGGAUGACGGCCUUCGGGUUGUAAACCGCUUUCGCCUGUGACGAAGCGUGAGUGACGGUAAUGGGUAAAGAAGCACCGGCUAACUACGUG
rnacentral:rRNA from 1 species